AAAAGAGAGAGGAAACCAAACAUUAACACUAAAGAUAGUGAUCAAAUCCCAGAAGAAGACAUCAAAAGAAGAAAGGAAUGAAAAAGAACUACAAAAACAAUCUGAAAACAAUUGACAAAAUGGUAAUGAGCCCAUAGCUAUCAAUAAU